GACGAACGCUGGCGGCGUGCUUAACACAUGCAAGUCGAACGGAAAGGCCUCUUUCGGGGGGUACUCGAGUGGCGAACGGGUGAGUAACACGUGAGUAACCUGCCCUUGACUUUGGGAUAACUUCAGGAAACUGGGGCUAAUACCGGAUAGGAGCUCCUGCUGCAUGGUGGGGGUUGGAAAGUUUCGGCGGUUGGGGAUGGACUCGCGGCUUAUCAGCUUGUUGGUGGGGUAGUGGCUUACCAAGGCUUUGACGGGUAGCCGGCCUGAGAGGGUGACCGGCCACAUUGGGACUGAGAUACGGCCCAGACUCCUACGGGAGGCAGCAGUGGGGAAUAUUGCACAAUGGGUGGAAGCCUGAUGUAGCAACGCCGUGUGCGGGAUGACGGCCUUCGGGUUGUAAACCGCUUUCGCUCAUGACGAAGCUUUGUGUGACGGUAGUGGGUAAAGAAGCACCGGCUAACUACGUG
rnacentral:rRNA from 1 species